rnacentral:rRNA from 1 species
AACGAACGCUGGCGGCAGGCCUAACACAUGCAAGUCGAACGCCCCGCAAGGGGAGUGGCGCACGGGUGAGUAACGCGUGGGAAUAUGCCCUUCGGUUCGGAAUAACACAGGGAAACUUGUGCUAAUACCGGAUACGAUCUACGGAUGAAAGAUUUAUCGCCGAGGGAGUAGCCUGCGUAGGAUUAGCUAGUUGGUGAGGUAAUGGCUCACCAAGGCGACGAUCCUUAGCUGGUCUGAGAGGAUGAUCAGCCACACUGGGACUGAGACACGGCCCAGACUCCUACGGGAGGCAGCAGUGGGGAAUAUUGGACAAUGGGCGAAAGCCUGAUCCAGCCAUGCCGCGUGAGUGAUGAAGGCCUUAGGGUUGUAAAGCUCUUUCGCCAGGGAAGAUAAUGACGGUACCUGGAAAAGAAGCCUCGGCUAACUCCGUGCCAGCCGCCGUAAGAC